rnacentral:piRNA from 1 species
UAGACCACAGGAGCAGCUCUCUGAAG